AUGCUUACCUGGCAGGUCAGAUACUGUGAUAACGAAGGUGGUUUUCCUAGGGCGAGGCUUAUUCAUUGCACUCUGGAUGUGCUGACACCUGUGAUUUCUCCAAAUGCAGGAAACUUGACUGCAUAAUUUGUGCUAGAGAGGGCACAUCCUCCCUCU